GUAUCAUCCACAGUCAAUCACAGUCCUGGAAGAUUGCUGGAGGAGACAGCCUCGUCUGGGUGCUAAAGUGUCUUUAGUGCCUUUCCAAUACUUUUUAAAUUUAAAUCUGGAGCUCUGGAUCCUGGGAAGACAACUGUAUCUAUCUGGGAUGGAUUAAUAUUGUUAAUUUUUGUUGUAUUUAAUUUUAUAGUUAGCUUCUAUUGUGGUAGAUAAUGCAGGUUUUCUACUUUUUAGUGAUUUAAAAGUUUCUUCUUAAAAUUCUUAUUUGUGUGAUAAAUCCACAUUCAUCAAUGAGGACUAGUUAAAUAAAUUAUGAUACAUUUAUGCAGUGGCAUACGAUACAGUUAGUAAAAAGAUAACUUCUUACCCCUCAACGAAAACAAUAAGGCAGCUCUGUAUGUGUGUAAUGAUGGACAGUCUCCAGGCUGUAUGGUUAAGUGCAAAAUGCAAGGUGAAAACCCGUGUGUGUAGAAUACUGUCAUUUGUCUGGAAGAAAUACACACAGGCUAUAUAAAUAUACACACUCGCCUAUCUGAAGUGUAUGUGUGUGCAUGCAUGCCUAGGUAGUCUUCGGCAAGACACUUGAGAAAUCACUCUUGGUUGCCCCCAGGGAAGAAAUUGAGUAUCAGGGGAAGAGGGAGACAUGCUAAAAGCACCAUUUUGUUACCUAUCAUGUCAUAUAUAUCAUGCAUUUUAAAAAUAGAAUAACUUAUCAAAAAAAUCUUUCAAAUAAAUGAAAAUAGUGGGUAAAACAAUAGGACAGGUCAUUUAUGGGCGCAGCAAAAGCUAUGAAAAUGGCACUCGAAGUCUCCCUCAGGCCCAAAGAGGGGAAGGCACUUUCCCAGGAUCACAGAGCAGCAAGCAAUGGCUUUGAGUUCAGCGUUACUGGCUGGGUGACCUUUUCUUAACCAUCUGUAAGUGGAAAGAGGUGAGGGCUGCGGAGCUGUCCACGUGUGGUGGAUGCUCUCAGUUUCUGUUGGAGUAUCAGGGCCAGGUGUUGGUUGCUUCUUUUCAGCUGGUGAGUUGUUUGUGGUGGAACUCAGUGAGGAUUAUGCCCUGAUUUCCUGCUCUUAGAUGGUCUGAGGGAGCUGCAGGGGGUCCUGCCCUGGUCCCCGUGGCGAUUUGGAACCUGAGUGUUGGGGGAGAGCCUGUUUUCCUUGGCAGUCCAGUGAGCCCAGCCCUGGAUAUAAACUGGUCCUUUGCUGUUGGGCUGAGUUGGCCCCUCCUGUUUGCCCAAGGGGUGGGAGGACAGGGUGGUACCACAGGGUCUCACGGAGACGUGAGAGCAGGAAGGCCGGGGCUGAAGGUCAGGCAGGGCCCAGCUGCUAGGGAACAGACCUGGGGCUGUUCUGGGAUGUUUGAGUUUCAUUCAGGUAGGAGCGGAGAGGUCAGAUACCAGAUGAUCUGCCAGCCUGUAUGAGAUUAGCCAGAUGGGGUCACUUGUCUGUCCUCGAAGUUUAGAUGGGGUGGGGCUUGCUCAGUGUCACCCCAAACAUUAGUGACAGAGUCAGGACUAGAGCUAGUGUCUGAGGAAGGAAGUCCAGGGAAUAAGGAAGACCCUCACUUUAGGUGCCCCUCCCCCCAGCCCUGUUCCUCAGCAGGUAGAGAGGCCAGGCCUCAUGGGGCUAAUGAAGUUCAUACGCUCCCCGCAGCCAGCUCUCUCUGGAGGGCCAACGGCCGGACGGGGACCUGCCUGGGGUGCUGAGAACAUAAGAUUCUGUCAUCCCUCUCCACCUAGGGUUCAAGGACUGCCCCUGCCCCUUCUCUGCUCCCGCCUCCGGGGCAGUGAUGCUCCCUGCAAACAAAUUAGUCUCCAGGGAGUGUCCCUACCUCCUGGAAUUUGGAGUUCUGUCCUCUUCUGGGCGUCUCUAUCUACUGGGUCACAGAACUGUCCCCACCCUUACAGUGCAUGACCUUGGGCCACAUCCAUCUCUUCCGAGAGCUUUGCUUUCCUCAUCUGUGAAAUGGGCCAAGUGCUACUUGAGAGAGUUGGGCUUCCUGGGAGUGAAGCGCUGACGGGGGCUGGAUUUGGACUUGACCUGGGCUUUCAAGGGGACUAAGGCCUUCCUGGGAAAGCUCUGUGUCGCCGUAAGGGUCUUAGUGCUGGGGAGGCACCGGUUGACUUUCUGGGGAGGACCAGGAGACCCCCAAGGGAGGAAGGUGAGCAGGUCUUAAUUUCUGGAACCUCACCCAGGGGGUGCGUUGCUGCUGGCUCUGGGAGCCAGGGAAGGCCUCGCGGAUGCCUUGGGGAUGCGUCUCUGUCGAGGGGACCUGCUUAGUCUCUGGCCCCAGAGUGCAGAGUGGGAACCAGCAAGGGGGUAGGCAGGAGGCAGCUUGACCUUCAUGUUGGGAAGAUUUUUCUGGAACCCUGAGAGAGACCCCAAAGGCAGAGUGGUGGCAGUGGGCUCCUUGACGUGCAGGCUGCACACAGGGGCCGGAGGUCCUCAUGAGGGGCUCUGGGGGCGGCGGGGCCAUGGGGGCAGAAGUCUCUUUCAUCUCUAGUUCUGAGACUCGGGGACUCAGGAAUAACAAGCAGUGUGAUAAAGGCUGCAUUUGAAAAGCCCUGGAGGUGAACCAGGCCCUGAGCCAGUGUUCCCAUCCUCCUCCUCCUCCAUGGCAGCCCAGGCUGGGAGCGGGGUGCUCGUGGGUGGGGACCCUGGUUGCCUGGCUCCCUGCUGCACUUCCGGGGCCUAUAACAGUGCCUGGCAGAGAGCGGGCCCUCGGGAGAGUUUGUUCAAUGACUCGAUUUGGUAACUCACGUGCCUGCUUUUCAGGUAACAAAAGGGAGGCUUUGCCGAGUUAAAUACCACCCCGGAUCGGGUCACUUGGCUCGGGCUGGGUUCUGAAUGCCCUCGCACCUCCUGUAGAGCUGGGGUGUGAUGGCCUAGGAUUCUCGAAGGCUCGUAGUGUACAGAGCGGGAAUUCCAAGGAGCCUUUCCCUAGAGCCCAGCCCCUCUGCACAGGGAGGAAGGAGGUGGUGUGUGGAGUUGUUGUGGCCACGCAGGCACCCGGAGCCUCUGUCCCCUGCGCCUUUGUCUCCUGGGACACAAUGGGUGGCUUUUUGUCCCCAUAAAGUCCCUUUCACUCUAGGGAGAAGGGCCAGGGCGGGGGUGGAGUAUGGGCCUGGUCAGGCCAAGUUCUGAGUGUCCUCAGCUGCCCAGAUGUGUCCCUGUGAGGGGGAACCCCGGGAAGGGUUCACGUGGUCCCCUGGGCCUCAGUUUUCUGGAUGGUGCAGUGGGGAGAAGGGAGUCCUGGGGGCUCUUGGAUGGGCCCUGCCCUCAGAUGGUUUCUAAAACAUUUGGUUUCAUCGCCAAUGUUUAAAAAGCUGAAGAUUUCACGUAGAAAUUCGGAUUUCUAACGUCUCCUGGAAAAUCAGAAGUUCUUGGGACUGCCCUGGUGGUCCAGUGGUUAAGACUCUGAGCUUCCAGUACAGGGGGCAUGUGUUCAAUCCCUGGCUGGGGAACUAAGCUCUGGCAGGCUGCUCUCAGCUCCACAGACCUCCC